AACCUAUUUUGUCCUUUGGAUUUCACCUACUGCCCUCUUUAUUCUCAUGGCCUCCUGAUCUCGGGAAACAACAAUAGAAAUAAGCACAGUUGGAUAAGCUUAUUUUGAUAUUAGUUUUUAUAUCCUUGACCUUGUGAUGCUGCAAUUUAUGGGGACAGAUAUAGAUAGCAUUAUUGGACAUCUUAGGUUUAUGAAGUUUGCACACCCAGAAGAGGGGAUUAUGUUUUUAUCUUUGUUGCCUUAAGAGCCGUUGGAUAGAGAUGCAAAUUAAUUACCAGAUAACUUGCUAACUUAUACGGAUGCUACGUCGUAGAAAGAGCGGUUUGUGUAAACUUAAAGGCCAGAUGGUUAGUGCAAUGAAACCUGGUUUUACAAUUUUUUUCUCCUUAGCUCUGUAUCAACUUAUAUCAUUUGGUUCGAGAUUUUCAUGAUUUUCUUGCAUUUUGGGGAAAUAAUUACUCGAAAGUACAAAUUGUUAGUGUGAUCGGGAGUGGUUGACUGGUUCAAGCUCUGAUUUCACCAAUUACGUUGUAAUGACAGAGGUAAUUUGCUGCUAUUAUUUUAUUUUUAAAUUAACUGUUGCAUGUGUUCGAUUGAUGGCCCUUCCAAGCUUCCGGUAACUUGCAUUUUCACUUAAGAUUAUGCUUAACUACUACUAAUAUAGUUCAUUAUUUUAACUCUUAAACGACCAGGUAAAAUAUUUUAAAUUAAUGGCUGAUAUUUUGAAUGUCUUCGAUUUCAUCUUCAGCCUAUACAUUUCCCUUUUGAAAGGCUAGUGACUGGACACUAAUUGAAGUUAUUGUAUGUAAUUUUUAACGCUUUUAAAAUGAGUUUGAUCCAUGUGACCUAUAUAUUAAGCUUUCUGUCUUGGAAAAUUUGUAUCAUGCAUCUAGAUGAUAGCGUUAACUUUUUGCAUUCAGUUUAAAUUAUCUAAGCAUUACGAAAUACUAUUGCCUUGUGUGGGAUUCUAACAUCUACGUACAUUCCCAACAUGUACAUGCAUUUUCUCCUUUUCCAUUUAGAAGAAAACUGUAUCAGCCAUCCAAGAACCAUGU